rnacentral:rRNA from 1 species
CGGGGAGGCGGUUUCGGCCGCCUCCGCCGGCGACCGGCGCACGGGUGAGUAACACGUAUGGAACCUGCCCGCCACAGGGGGAUAACCCGGGGAAACCCGGCCUAAUACCCCAUGCCGCCCGGACCGGGCAUCCGGUCCGGGCGAAAGGAGGAAUCCGGUGGCGGCUGGGCAUGCGGCGCAUUAGCUUGACGGCGGGGUAACGGCCCACCGUGGCGACGAUGCGUAGGGGUUCUGAGAGGAAGGCCCCCCACACUGGAACUGAGACACGGUCCAGACUCCUACGGGAGGCAGCAG